rnacentral:rRNA from 1 species
ACCGAUAGUGAACAAGUACCGUGAGGGAAAGAUCAAAAGCACUUUGAAAAGAGGGUGAAAAGAACCUGAAACCGUUACGACAGAAGCGUAUUGCGUUGAAUUGAGGGCUGUUUAACUCUUCAGCUGAACGUGAGUUUAGUGUACUGAGUUAAGUAGUUAUCCGUCGUGCCUUUUCUGUGGCUGAUAUUGAGCCGCGGGAGAGGGAGGGAUCCCCUUUAUGGGUGAGGACGAUGGAGUGGCAACGCGAUGCGACCCGUCUUGAAACACGGACCAAGGAGUCUAACAUGUUUGCGAGUUGAAGGGUAGUAAACCUGGAGGCGCAGUGAAAGCGAACUUCUAAAACGGACAGUUUGUGGCGGCAUAAAAUCGUUGAUUUUAGGUCUGACUAAGAGCAAAUAUGUUAGGACCCGAAAGAUGGUGAACUAUGCUUGAGUAGGCCGAAGGCAGAAGAAAUUCUGCUGGAGGGCCGAAGCGGUGCUGACGUGCAAAUCGCUCGUCGAACUCGAGUAUAGGGGCGAAAGACUAAUCGAACCAUCUAGUAGCUGGUUCCCUCCGAAGUUUCUCUCAGGAUAGCGGGCCGACAAUUAUUGUUUUGUGCGGUAAAGCGAAUGAUUAGCGCACUCGGGGGCAUUCAGUCUUCGGUCGAUUCUCAAACUUUUAAUGCGCAAGGGGGCUGCAGCUUAGGUGUGCGGCUCCUCU